UAUACUAUACUAUUUCUUGUGUA
rnacentral:siRNA from 1 species